GCUCCUGACACGAAUAUAAAUUGUCACUAUGAAUCAACUGUGUGAGGAUACCAUAUGGUUAGGUCCAUCGUUUUCGGUAUGCAUGGGGUUUGACAAAUGAGGGAUGCAGCCCUGACUGCGUUAUGACUUCCCGUAUUGUAUCUGUCUCGGUUGCGUCUUUAAAAGACACAUGACCUCAUCGCCGAAGUGUGUAACAUGUGACGAAUUACCGACAGGUCUUGUCUGCUCCAUGGAGAUAUCCUGGCUCGUCCCUUUUGACUGACAACCGUCUGAAGUGUCAAUUCGACGUGCCAGGCAACAGGGCCGACGAAUUCACGGAUUGAAAAGGAAAAGAAUUAAACCAAAACUAUUAUCACAUGUGAGCAACGUGCGCAGCGAAUUCACAAUUAAAUUGACGACGUCAAAUCGCGAAGCCAGACUGUUAAGCCAUCACUGACAACCGCCACGUUGGACCUUUUGACCUGAAAAAUCCUGAAUUGAGAUAAGCUUUUAAAUUAUGUAUAUUAUAUAGACAAUUUCAACGUGUAAAAUAUUCCGAAAGAAUGAGUGUGAAUGAAUAUGAAUGAAUGAGAAGUUUUAUAAAUGUAAGAGCUUUGUCGUUUUGUUAAAAAUCUUAUAAUUAUCAUUGACUUAUUGGUUAUCUUGUUGACUAUAAUCAACUCAAUAAAUUAAUUUGUUUCGAA